UAAGUGCGACUGAAACGGGAUGAGCCCAGCGCAUAACCUCGUAUUUUUCUCUUCCCUUAACAGGGUGCGAGGGGUGUUGCGUUCCAGAGGGUCCGGCACGUCGCCCCCUACCGUCUAAGUCAUGUUUGAAAGCAGCCACUACCCAGGGAGGGUGAUAGGCCCGUGUGACGGUUAGUGCCCGUGAGGGUUAAAGGUUGGGGCGGUCGGAAAGGGCCUCUCUGUAGAGUCGGGUUGCUUGAUACUGCAGCCCAAAGCAGGUGGUAAACUCCAUCUAAGGCUAAAUAUGACCACGAGACCGAUAGCGAACAAGUACCGUGAGGGAAAGUUGAAAAGGACUUUGAAGAGAGAGUUCAAUAGUACGUGAAACCGUUAAGAGACAAACGGGUGGAACCUAGAAGGUCGAACCGAGGGGAUUCAGCUCGUCGGCGUCGGCUGGGUGGGCGGUUGGGAAAACCAUGAAAGUGAACUGCAGCCAGGAGACUGUGCUGUGGUCACACCGUCCACUCAUCGCCGGCGUUGGCGGGCGUAUUUCGCCUCGUAGUACGUUGCCGCGACCCGUUGCUCGGGGACGUCGAAGGCCCGGGUGGAUUGGUACCCCGUCGCGAACUGAGCCCCUCACGGGGAUAAUAGUUUUUGGUGCGGCGGGGGAAACCCCCGGUGACAUAUCCUGACGGCCCUGCGACGGUCUCCAUAGCAGAGCUCCCGGUGCAUUCAUGGUCGUCAUACCGUGCUUUGGCGGGAUAUAGGCUCUCGCGGUGUUAUUAUGUCGGAAACCACCCGACCCGUCUUGAAACACGGACCAAGGAGUCUAACAUGUGUGCGAGUCAUUGGGCGCACUAAACCCACAGGCGAAAUGAAAGUGACAACCACACUGAGGAGUUCUAAGCCACUCCUGGGGCUGAUCCCCGGCCGGCUGCCGGCCUCCUCGGCCCUGGAAGGGGGUUAGGCGGGUGAGCCCCUUUCCCCGUCUCUCCUGACCUUGUGCUCUUGGUUGAUCGUGCGAUGGCCUACGCCUGUCCGCAGGGGGGCGCAAGCCCGGGACUCGCCACCAUGGCUCUCCGCGCUGCCGAGCGCGUGGCACUCCGGUGUCGCGUGGCCCCCGGUGGUGCCGGAGCAGUCGGCGAGUACCUUGAGCAGACAUGUUGGGACCCGAAAGAUGGUGAACUAUGCCUGGCCAGGACGAAGCCAGGGGAAACUCUGGUGGAGGUCCGCUGCGAUUCUGACGUGCAAAUCGAUCGUCUGAGUUGGGUAUAGGGGCGAAAGACUAAUCGAACCAUCUAGUAGCUGGUUCCCUCCGAAGUUUCCCUCAGGAUAGCUGGUACUCGAGUGGAUGAGUUUCAUCCGGUAAAGCGAAUGAUUAGAGGUGUUGGGGAUGAAACGUCCUCAACCUAUUCUCAAACUUUAAAUGGGUGAGAUGCCGAGCUUUCUUAAAACUAAACCUUGAUUCUGAAGCUCUGGCGAUUAAUCUGAGUAUCUAGUGGGCCACUUUUGGUAAGCAGAACU
rnacentral:rRNA from 1 species